rnacentral:rRNA from 1 species
GUCAUCCUACGGGAGGCAGCAGUAGGGAAUUUUCGUCAAUGGGCGCAAGCCUGAACGAGCGAUGCCGCGUGAGUGAAGAAGGCCUUCGGGUCGUAAAGCUCUGUUGCGGGGGAAAGAAGGCAGCAUCAGGAAAUGGGUGCUGACUGAUGGUGCCCCGCCAGAAAGUCACGGCUAACUACGUGCCAGCAGCCGCGGUAAUACGUAGGUGGCGAGCGUUAUCCGGAAUGAUUGGGCGUAAAGGGUGCGCAGGCGGACCUGCAAGUCUGGAGUGAAACGCAGGAG